GUUGUAAACUCCGGUAAUUUUUCCUUAAGGGGGGGAUGCGGAGGGAUCAUUACCGAGUUUACAACUCCCAAACCCAAUGUGAACGUUACCAAACUGUUGCCUCGGCGGGAUCUCUGCCCCGGGUGCGUCGCAGCCCCGGACCAAGGCGCCCGCCGGAGGACCAACCAAAACUCUUAUUGUAUACCCCCUCGCGGGUUUUUUACUAUCUGAGCCAUCUCGGCGCCCCUCGUGGGCGUUUCGAAAAUGAAUCAAAACUUUCAACAACGGAUCUCUUGGUUCUGGCAUCGAUGAAGAACGCAGCGAAAUGCGAUAAGUAAUGUGAAUUGCAGAAUUCAGUGAAUCAUCGAAUCUUUGAACGCACAUUGCGCCCGCCAGUAUUCUGGCGGGCAUGCCUGUCCGAGCGUCAUUUCAACCCUCGAACCCCUCCGGGGGGUCGGCGUUGGGGAUCGGCCCUUUACGGGGCCGGCCCCGAAAUACAGUGGCGGUCUCGCCGCAGCCUCUCCUGCGCAGUAGUUUGCACACUCGCAUCGGGAGCGCGGCGCGUCCACAGCCGUUAAACACCCCAAACUUCUGAAAUGUGACCUCGCAUCAGGUAGAAUCCCCAGUCCAC
rnacentral:rRNA from 1 species